AGCAGCCGCGGUAAUUCCAGCUCCAAUAGCGUAUAUUAAAGUUGUUGCAGUUAAAAAGCUCGUAGUUGAACCUCGGGAUCAAUGGAUCGGUCAUGCCAUCGGUAUGUACUGGUCUCAUUGGUUCUCACCUUCUAAGGAACCAUGAUGUCAUUCAUUUGAUGUUGUGGGGAAUUAGGACUGUUACCUUGAAAAAAUUAGAGUGUUUAAAGCAGGCUAACGCUUGAAUACAUUAGCAUGGAAUAAUGAAAUAGGACAUCGCAUUCUAUUUUGUUGGUUUCUAGGAUCGAUGUAAUGAUUAAUAGGGAUAGUUGGGGGCAUUAGUAUUCAAUUGUCAGAGGUGAAAUUCUUGGAUUUAUUGAAGACUAACUACUGCGAAAGCAUUUGCCAAGGAUGUUUUCAUUAAUCAAGAACGAAAGUUAGGGGAUCGAAGACGAUCAGAUACCGUCGUAG
rnacentral:rRNA from 1 species